AAUACUCCUGACUGACCGAUAGUGAACCAGUACCGUGAGGGAAAGGCGAAAAGAACCCCGGCGAGGGGAGUGAAAAAGAACCUGAAACCGUGUACGUACAAGCAGUGGGAGCCCCACCACUAAGCCAGUGGUGAACUCCACAUACGCAUCCUUUGCUGAGGAUACGGUUAACGGAGCGAAAGCGACGUUCAACCGCAAAAGAAGCAGAGGGGGCUUAGUGGUGGGGUGACUGCGUACCUUUUGUAUAAUGGGUCAGCGACUUAUAUUCUGUAGCAAGGUUAACCGUAUAGGGGAGCCGCAGGGAAACCGAGUCUUAACCGGGCGUUAAGUUGCAGGGUAUAGACCCGAAACCCGGUGAUCUAGCCAUGGGCAGGUUGAAGGUUGGGUAACACUAACUGGAGGACCGAACCGACUAAUGUUGAAAAAUUAGCGGAUGACCUGUGGCUGGGGGUGAAAGGCCAAUCAAACCGGGAGAUAGCUGGUUCUCCCCGAAAGCUAUUUAGGUAGCGCCUCGUGAACUCAUCUCCGGGGGUAGAGCACUGUUUCGGCUAGGGGGCCAUCCCGGCUUACCAACCCGAUGCAAACUGCGAAUACCGGAGAAUGUUAUCACGGGAGACACACGGCGGGUGCUAACGUCCGUCGUGAAGAGGGAAACAACCCAGACCGCCAGCUAAGGUCCCAAAGUCAUGGUUAAGUGGGAAACGAUGUGGGAAGGCCCAGACAGCCAGGAUGUUGGCUUAGAAGCAGCCAUCAUUUAAAGAAAGCGUAAUAGCUCACUGGUCGAGUCGGCCUGCGCGGAAGAUGUAACGGGGCUAAACCAUGCACCGAAGCUGCGGCAGCGACACUAUGUGUUGUUGGGUAGGGGAGCGUUCUGUAAGCCUGUGAAGGUGGCCUGUGAGGGUUGCUGGAGGUAUCAGAAGUGCGAAUGCUGACAUAAGUAACGAUAAAGCGGGUGAAAAGCCCGCUCGCCGGAAGACCAAGGGUUCCUGUCCAACGUUAAUCGGGGCAGGGUGAGUCGACCCCUAAGGCGAGGCCGAAAGGCGUAGUCGAUGGGAAACGGGUUAAUAUUCCCGUACUUGGUGUUACUGCGAAGGGGGGACGGAGAAGGCUAUGUUGGCCGGGCGACGGUUGUCCCGGUUUAAGCGUGUAGGUGUGUGUUCCAGGUAAAUCCGGUUCACUUUAACACUGAGGCGUGAUGACGAGGCACUACGGUGCUGAAGCAACAAAUGCCCUGCUUCCAGGAAAAGCCUCUAAGCAUCAGGUAACAUCAAAUCGUACCCCAAACCGACACAGGUGGUCAGGUAGAGAAUACCAAGGCGCUUGAGAGAACUCGGGUGAAGGAACUAGGCAAAAUGGUGCCGUAACUUCGGGAGAAGGCACGCUGACAUGUAGGUGAAGUGAUUUACUCAUGGAGCUGAAGUCAGUCGAAGAUA
rnacentral:rRNA from 1 species